UACGUGAGCCCCGAGCGUUAUCCGGAUUUAUUGGGCGUAAAGCGUGUGCAGGCGGUUUGUCGCAUCUUCUGUUAAAUCCCGAAGCUCAACUUCGGAACCGCGGAAGAGAUGGAUAAACUAGAGACUGGGAAAGGUAAGCGGAAUUGCUGGUGUAGGGGUUAAAUCCGUUAAUAUCAGCAGGAACACCAAAUGCGAAGGCAGCUUACUAGAACAGUUCUGACGCUCAUACACGAAAGCGUGGGUAGCGAAUGGG
rnacentral:rRNA from 1 species